AAAUCUGUGACAGUCACCAUGCUGCUCAGGGAGGUGACAUGGCUGCAGUCCUGCAACAAGAACAAAGGAAAUAUGGGUAAGGCAUGGAAAACUCCUUUUUGAAAGAACACAUACUUUACAUAGUAUACUAAAAGAGAGACUCAUGUGACCCAGGCUAGACCACAUAACCUAGGUAGCCCAGGAGGAUCCUGAACUCAUUCUCCUGCCACUGGCUACCAGUGCUGGGUUAUGGGCAAGCACCAGGACAGAUUUUAGGAGUGCUAGGAACUGACCCAGGGCCUUGGGCUUGAAACAGGAGCAUUCUCCCAAACGAGCCACGUCCCCACACAUCAGCCUCUGGCGUAAGAAACUCACUGAAGGCCGAUAGCUCUCAGCCUAUAGGUGAGAUCAGGAUGUCAUCAGCAGCCAUGGGAAUGGAUCUGGGACCCACCACUCCCACCCAAUUCUCCUCAUGGUCUUAGUCAGUGUCUCCCCAUUAUCAUUGCACAUACUUUCCAGAGUCACUUGUGAUACAGUAACUGGUCCUGUGAAAAGGGACCAGUAACUUCACUGCAGUGUUGGAGUCAUCUGGUGAAAGUGACCUUACAGUCCUUGAGGGGAUGCCCACAUUUGACAGGCAAAGUUGUAAGGAUUUAGCCAUCUGACACAGAAUGGCUAGGUAGCCUUGACUGUCCUUAAACUGGUGAUCCUCCUGCAGCAACUCCCAAGUGUUGGCAUUACAGAUGUGUUUCAUCAUGGCCAAGUUUGGAAAGUUCCUUACAUUGGGAAUAUUGGCACUGGUAUUCCAGGUUAUGUGUGUGUAUGUGUGUAUGUGUGUGUCAGACUCUCUAUUUCAACAUCGUGGUACCUAAAACAUUAUUAUAAUCCAAACCAGAGCUAGGUGUUUUGAACAGCUUUGUUGGAAAGGUCUUCCCCACGUGCAGCUGAGACCCUUAUUUGCAUUUGAUGCCUGAGGCUGCACAAUGGGGCUGGAGAGACACAGUGUGUAACAGCAUCCAUUGCUCUUUAGGGGAAGCAGGCGCUGCACAGUCGCUUGACUCCAGAUCCAGGGCAUCUGAUCAUCUCUUCUAACCACAACAGGCACUGAACCCAUGUGCACAAAUCCACACACACAUAGAAAUAAGGUGAAAUCAUCUGAUUUUAAAAGACUACACAAUGAAGUUACAGAAAUAAACAAAAAUAAUGAAUUAUAUAAAUGUUUUACAGAAGAAAGCAGAGAUAUUAUUAGGUCUCACUUUAUUGUUAGGAUCAGCAAUAUGAUGCACAGUAUAAAUAUACACACAUUUAUUAUGAUACAUAUAAAAUAUCAUUUCUUUGAUGUAUUAUGUUCAUUGGCUUGAGUAUACUGAAAUUGGAUCUCUGGAAUGAAUUUAUCUUCAGCAUAUGGAAUUACUGUUUUGUCAAAUCCAUUUGAUAGUGUUCUGUGAUCAAUUUUUAUUUUCAGUCCAUCAAAAAAGUCUGAAUUUUCUUGGGUCAUUUUAGGAUGAGCAUGUCCUCAAAUUAACUUUGUGUGUUCUGGAAGACUUGAUGUAAAAGAUCCAUUUGGGUUUUUCCAUUACUGAUAGACUCGAGCCAUAUUUGCAUAUUAUAUUGUGCCUCUUUCUUCUUGGGGCCACGUACUGUUUUCUAUAUUUUUCAAAGAGCUAUUCCAUGAAUUAAUGUCAAUUUGGAAUGUGCCUAAUUUGUGUUUACAGUCUCUUCAAUUUAAGCAAACUUUGUUCGGUUCACAUAUGCCUCUUACAUUUCUAAUUAGUAAUAUAUAUUGAUCAGUUCUUCAUUAUGGUUGAGUUUUCAUGAUUAUAAACACAUGUGGAUUGAAAUAUGACUGUCACUCAAAGUUUAACUAAUAGCCACCUGCCCAUUCAUUCACUCAUUUUUAAGAAAAUAAUUCUUGAGUUUUCCUUCAGCUUAUGCAAUGAACAUUAUCAUGAGUGGCUGUGAGGUACUUUCAGAAAUUACACACUAAGUAAAAGGUCUUUAUUAGUGGUCUUUAUUAAUCUACCCUGGGACUUAAUCUACUACUCUGACUUCAGAUGCCCUGUCCUUUAGUUCCACAAUAGGUAAAUUCAGAGAUAUCCUAGGAGACACCGACCCUCUGCUCAAUGCUGUGGAAAUCUUGCCCUCUGUUGUUCUCUGUGGUGUUUACUAGAACAUAAAACCGCGCUGUACAUGUAAGCAUUUACAUCUCUGCCCCAGGAGGGGAAGGUUUCCCCAUGGAAAAUGGUACAGCUGGCAGUCAGGAGCCAAGGAAUACCACAAAGUCACAUUGCACAACAAACCUCAUGCAAGAGAUUUAUUGGGAAGGGAAAAUCAGUUGGCUGCCUCUGCUCAGGCAACAAGCAGCAGGGGACUGAGCAGAAGGGAGGGUUUAUACAGGGUUUCUGGUGGCCGGGGUGGGGGUGGGGGACAGAGCUUUCCAGGGUGGCCUGUCAUUGAUGGAAUUUUUGUGAUAGAGAUAUUUGGCUUAGAGCAAUUAACAAGCAGCAAAGUGAGAGAAACUAAUAAGACAAUGAGUGAGGCCAAAAACGGUGGUCCUUUCUCUAGAUGUUUAAGUUUGGCCCUAAUAUCGGAGAAACUCUGGAAGAAGGAGUCGUUUUCCAUCUGGGGUCUCUGGAUCCAGAUUGCUAUACUGUAAGACAGGUGUAUUUGUAAGGUGGUCUAAAACUUGAGACAGGUUUUCAUGUUUGUCCUGGAUGAUCUCCUGGGGCUCAUUUGGUUUGUUUGUUUGCUUUAUAAUUGACCACCUUGUGGAGACUGGGCAGGAGGCAAUUUAUAAGUUGGUCUCUAGCUAAAAUGCCCCAGAAUUGUGUAGUUCCAUUCAGAACCCUGUCUGGUUCUUUGUCAGCCCAGACUGGGUGGGCAGCAUUAGUUUGGUGGGUUUUGUCUACAUGUGCCCUAGGCUGGCCCCAGACCUAUCUAUGCUGGGGGAGAGAAGGUUGCGGGUGAGGAGCGUGUAGAAGUCAUGGAAGGUGAGGCUGAUGACACUGGGACUCUUUAAUAAAAGAGGGAUUAGUGAUGUGAGAGCCCAACCUCUCCUCUACCUGAGAGAGAUCACUGAAUAAGGAGACACAUGCUCUUACCAUGCCAUCCACCCCAGCAACCCCACCCCCACCCUCACAAAGGGAGAACUGGGGAGAGGUUAGGCCGGCUAUAGGGGGUGUAGAGGAAGUCCCAUGAUAGACCUGAAGAAGCUGCAGGAUUAUAGCCCUAAGGGUGGUGGGAUGGCGGCAAGUGAAGAGGGCAAGCCACAGCCUUAAAGACUGUGGCUGAGGUCACCUCUGCUUCCAAGAGUACUAAAGGGCUGCCGGACACCCAGUGGUCACUUCGUCGGACACAGGGAAAUGUUUACAUCAAAGAAGGUGCUUACCUAACUGCAGCUGGUGGGCGGGGUGCUGAGCGAUCGAGUCUGUUGUAGGUGGACUGGACGGCUCAGACCACUAGGGGGAGCAAGGCACCAGGAGAGUCUAUCCGAGUCAGAGCAAAUGUGUGUUACAGCUCAGCUCCACUGGGGAAGGUUUCCCCAAUACAAGUGUAGCAGCGGGACGGUUUUCCGAAUGCAAGACUAACGGCUCUGCUUUGGUGGCGAGGUGACAGGAAAGGUUUCCCUAGCUCUUUUACGGUACAGUGCAUAGCUAUCAUGGCAUCUGGUCUGUGACAGCUCUCAAUAGAAGGGUGGCUUGAUAACAUUUUUGGCCGUUCAAUGGGAUUGUUAAACACAUUCAUGUUCACCUCUCAUAAUGUUCAAGGCAAGGCAUUUUCUGUUAGAGAAGAUGAAAACCCCAACCCAACCAAACACAAACACCUCCCAAACAGGAAUAUGUCCGCAAAAUAUUGAACAGUUAAAUAAAUGGCGUCACUUUUAGUUACACUGACUGUAAUCGGUGAACUUCUCUGAGGCUUUUAUAACAAUAAUAUGAAUAUAUAUGCAUAUAUAUAAAGAGAUGCGCAUCAUUUGGGAACAUACUUCAAAUUUAUAGUGUUUAUUUUGUCAGGAAAGAGACUAUACAUGCAUGAAAGUAAAUAUUAUGAACAAUGACAAAAUGUACAUAAAGAACACAGAGACAUGUGGGGCAGCGCGGGAGGAGAAUUGAACUUUCGCUCCUGGUCUGAGAAACUGAGAUUCUGAGGUGGGAGCGCCACCUAGCACGUCCGCACUACCUGCCCCGACCUGUAGAGGGCGCAGCGGAUAUAAACUCCAGUUGCAGAGUGAAGCCCUUCGCGGUCUCUCCCCACCCCACCCCCCAGUGCAGACCAGUGCGCAUGCGCACAAGGAAGGCUCGCGCCCAACAGUCCUCAGGUCGUUAUUUGGGUGCUGAAGGCACAAGGGGUCAGAUCUGGGUUGAAGACACCCUGCCCUAGGUACCAGCUGGAGAUGUUUUGUCCCUUCCAGGACGCUGGAGGCGGAGAGAGUCACUUGAGGGAGUUUCUGCUGUUCUUGCUGAUGAUUUUGCUACUUUGCUUACAGGUGUUGGUAAUUUUUACUUUCCUUCUUGCAACUGUCUGCUCCCUUUCCCAGAUUUCAAAAGUCAGUAGUUUUAUCUCCACAAAUAAGGAGUCUCUGAAUCUGGUGUGGCCAGACUGGACUUUCGCUGUCCCAGAAUCCAAGUCGGUUAGUUUUAUGUCUAAACCAUCAGUACCUAAAAACUCCUUUCCCGGGCUUCCUUCGGUUAGCCCUUCCUUUUAGAUUCUCAAGUGAGCAAUGCCUAGAAUCAGACACAGCUUGCAACUGUCCUCUCUCCUUCCCCAGACUUCAGCUAAGUCCUGCGUUUUAUCUCCUGGGUAUCCUCAAGUCCGGCAGCUUCCCUGGGGGUUCAGAAUCCCAGUACAGAACUUGCCUGACCCUAGUGCAGAAGAGUCAGACGUUUGCCCAAUUAUCCACUCUCUUUUUCCUCCAAGACAUUUUUUUACACAAAAAACCCUAAAUACAGUGAAUUCUUAAAAACUGGAGUAGAGGUGGGGAGACAGUCCAAAGACCUUAAAAAACUAAAACUAAACUUAUAUAUAAAAAAAAAAGGGGGGGGUGGUGGUGCUGGAGAGAUGGCUCAGUGGUUAAGAGCACUGACCGCUCUUCCAAAGGUCCUGAUUUCAAAUCCCAGCAACCACAUGGCGGCUCACAACCAUCUGUAAUGAGAUCUGACGCCCUCUUCUGGUGUGUGUCUGAAGAUAGCUACAGUGUACUUACAUAUAAUAAAUGAAUAAAGCUUAAAAAAAAAAAAAAAAGCCAGCUCAGCUCUGACUCCCCAGCCUGACCUGGCAUGACUGAGGCUCAGGUUGUCUAAUCACAUAAGAACUCUGGGCUUUCUUUCUCCUGAUGGAGUUGAUAUCAGCUGUGUGAAGAAGACUGAAACCGAAACCGCCGUGUGGUGAAAGUAUUAAAUGUGAGCACUUUAGCUGGUGUUUUAGCCAGUGACUAGGAUGAUGUUUUCCUUAGUAUUAAUGGUUAGCAUUGAAAACACAGGGUUCCCUUCUGUUUUCAUGCACAGAAUCAGUUCACUUUGACCAUGUUCUUUCCCACACUGCUCAGCUUUUCUCCCUUUGCUUCUCCCCAGCCAAAUUUCCAUCUUACAUGUUCAUGCAUGUGGAUGUGUGUGCAUAUACAUAUAUGUGUGUGUACAUAUAUUUAAAUGUAGAUUCCCCCUUGAGUUUCUUCUGCCCACAGUACUAUCUCUUGUUACCCCCUCCAGCCUAGCAGACCCACUCUCCCUCGGAUACAAUCCCCAUUCUGCUUCCUUGCCGGUUAUGUCACCUUAGUAUUUGAAGCCAGGCUGAGUUUUAUCAGGGAUACAGAAGUUCUGUCCAUUCCCAGUUUGGGGCAUUGCUUAUUGGUGGAGACUGCUGCCUUGUAUCUAUUUCAGGUUAUGGAAAUGGGGAGAGGGAAAAUCGAGGUAGUUCUUAGGAGGUGUAAAAGUUGAACAGCAAAAGGUGGAGCAGAGAGAAAGGGCCAUGUGGAUUGGCUUCCAUCAUAAAGACACCUUCAUUCCCUGAGGAGAAGGGUAACACGCAACUCAGCUAACCACAAUCCAAUGUAACAGGUAGAGAACCUGGCUCCAGUGGACAACGGCUGCCCGGGACCCAUUUUGCUGUUUUCGGAAUUCUUUUCUGAAAGGUGAGCAGGCUGCCCAGUAUACAACCUCACAGCUGGGGGAAACUGGCUCUCACCUGUAUCUGGAAGUGUGGGGAUGCUGACUGCACAGGCUCAUAGAUGCAAUGAGGACCACCUGUACAUAAGGCUUCCUAAGUCAGCUGACUCUGAUCCCAUCAUUACAAUGAGUUACCAUGACUGCUUCAAACAUGAGAUCCACCAUCUCUCUGGGUCUUCGGCUGCCUGUCCUCAGUCUUGCCCAUGGGACCUGUGUGGUUUAUCCUAUGAGAAGAGAAGACUCUGCCCUCCGGUGUGGCGCAACCUGCAAACCAGUAAUGAUGUACGCAAUGCAACAGAAAAGAAUAAAUCACAGGAGAAAGCUGCACGGGUGAGCACUUCCUGAGAUCUGAAUUCGGUGUCUGGGAUCUCUCUGAAUCUAGAAAUAAGUCACCUGGUUGUGGCUUACACCUGUCAGAUCCCAAGAAAAGCAGCCAGUUCUGAGAGUUUCAGGUCUCGAAACAAGAACAUUCAGGAGCACUCUGUAGGGAAGGAACUGUGUUCCCCUGAAGAUCAUCAGAAGCAUUCGAAGUACGUGCAAACACUUGAAAGUGCACAUGUGCGAGCUCUUGGGUGUGCACACAGGCAAGUGCUGCUCCAUAGAGGAAAAGUGCAGGGAGAAUGAACUCCCCUGGCUAUGUAAAUGUUUCAUGUGUACAGCUUUUAGGUGUGAUCUCUAUAGCAUGUUCACAUAUGACCUAUGACAGCUGACUCUUGCCAUCCACAAUCAAGCAGAACUGCAAGUUUGAAGAAUCACGUUUAAUAACAAAGUUUACAAAUGUUUUUAAAGCCCUCAGCACUGGAACACGCACACUCACGUGUGCUCAGAGACCGAAGAGAUUGAAUGGCUUGACUCUGCGGAGAGAAAGACUUGGCUGCCGAGCUUCUAAGAGGCAGAGGAGAGGCCCCGCUGUCGGGGAGGUCAUAUUUGCUUACAUGGAUUUAGCCUAUGGUGAGCAGCCCCCGUUCCUCCUGAAUGUAGAAAAGCUCUCCCCAGUCUCCGUGGGACAAUAAUCGGGGCCUCUGUUUUGCUCUGGGAUAAUCACAUAUAUUAUGAUUACACUUCUCUCACCUGCCAAGAGAAAACUUGUCACAGUUGCCUGGGGCUCUCAAUCCCACUCUGUCAUAGCACACCUCAAUGAAGCCCCACCUGCCUCAGUGGAUGAUUCUCGUCCCCUCACUUAGGGCCUGGGUGUGGUUUGUUUCACAACAGUCCCUGGCUUGUUGGGAGUGACCAAUGAGUCCAAGCUCUCUCUCCAGUGGUCUUGACUUCCUCAUUUCUGAUUGGACACACUGCUCCGCUCCCUUUAUCCCAGAGUCUCUUCCGUCUCUGCCAAGGACUGCACACUGUGUGGAUGUGUAUGAAGCCCUUAGAUGAUGUACUCCAGCUCCUCUGCCAAGGAGGAGCUCAGAACAGGACCAAAGGGAACUGAAUCCUCCUCCACUUAGAAUUAGUCAACGAGCCCACCUUCCUCCUCAUGCCUGCCUGUCUGCCUUCUUUUCCUGUGAGACGUGUCUCACUCUCUAUCCAAGGCUGGCCAUGAACUUGUAGAAAGCCUCUGUUUGCAAAUGGCUGGGAUUACCGGCAUUAGUCACCACUAGAAUGGAUAUUUCUGGACAUUGGGUUAAAGCAAAAUUGUUGAUUCAAGGGUCUCUGAAAAUGAACCAAACACAGUCAUCCAAUCCAGUGUGUCCAGGCCUCGCCACGCACUGUUCCCUCUGUGAAGUGACAUGAACAGCUGCUGACCCUGGAUAUGUUCUUGGAGUGAGUGUCACAGGAAGUCAAGAGGUAAGAUAAUGUCAGAUCAGGGAGGAAUUCUCGUUCUUUACCAGUGUCCCACACAAGACUCUGCGUGUUUCUACCCCUCUCUGAGUUGUCCUUCAGGCAAAUGGAGGACCUGUGUCCACAGAUCAUGAUCACAGGGAAAAGGACUUUGAUAGUCAGAACUGCAAUGGACAACCGAGCCCUGUGUCACUAAAGACCAGGCAGCCUGGGAUGGAAAUGCUAAGUCCUUGAGAUUCCCUGCAUGAGCCCCUCUUUGCCAUAAUGACCUGAAGUAGGCUGAAAUUUUUUUCUCCAAGUCAAGCCAAGGCUGACCGGGAGCUGUAACUAUGGACUUUGCAUCAGCCUGAGUGGAUGAAGCAAUAUUUUUGGAUUUGACUGUGAAGUGAUUCUAAAGGAACUUAUGUGCGGGUUCCUGGACUCAGUGGCAAUGUGAAGCCAUCAGAGCUUCACUGGAAGAAGCAGUGUAGGAGCAGACACUCCCGCUGCGUCUCCCCCGAGAUACACGCUUUCUUUAUCUUUAGCUUUCUUCAUCAGAUUUCCAAGCUGGGUGGCCUCUGGACUCUGAGGAGUAAGCUUGUAUUUCACUAGGCUGUUGGGAUUCUCAGAUUGAGACUCACAAAAGUGGCUUCCCUUGGUCUGUGCCUUUUGGACAAGAACUACGUCAAACCACCAGUAUUUCAGAGCUUCUGUCUUGCAGAAAGCCUGCUGUAGGAAUGCUCAGGCAUA